rnacentral:misc_RNA from 1 species
AAUAAAAGAACCCUAGAAGUUACAUAGAAGUAAAUGACAUCUUUAUGGGUGUUUAGCCAAACCACAGAACAAUGCAUUAGGAGGGAUGUCAUUCUCAGUAAAGAUGCUGUGUUCAUUGUUCCAAACCCUAACAUACAAUUGUUGCCCUAGAUAUCGUCUUGACCAGAUUGCAGACCUCAAAUUCCACAUUCCCUUAUUGUCCAAUGACACCAGUACUGCACUCCAAGAUUUGGGAUACACCUGUGACAAAUUGGGGUUUGUGUGCCUAAGUUAGUAUGCUUCAGAAAGAAUUUUCAAGAUAUUAUAAAGGAUUUUGUAAGAUGUUUAGAAAGUCUCUUUUACUCACCUGGACAGUGUGUCUAGAAACAGCAUCGUUCAAAUUGUAAAACUUCUUUCGCUUAUCAGGGGUCCAUACACCGGAGCCGUACCUGCAAUUUUAGAGAUCAAAUUAAACAAUGAAAUAUAUAUUUGUUAGGCCUGAAAAAAAGAGGUUGGAAGAGGAUUGCCAAGAAUUAUGAAAUAAGAUAAUUAGUGCAGUGAGUCACUACAGAAAGUGAAUGAAUAGAAUAUAAUUGCAGUAAGAAGCUGAAUAAUAUAAUACAAAGUCACCAAUAAGCUUUAGUUCAGUGGUUCUAGAGUCGUCUCCAGAACUGUGAAGUUUCAAUUUCGUAUUCUA